rnacentral:rRNA from 1 species
UACGUAGGGUGCAAGCGUUAAUCGGAAUUACUGGGCGUAAAGCGUGCGCAGGCGGCUUUGCAAGACAGAUGUGAAAUCCCCGGGCUUAACCUGGGAAUUGCGCUUGUGACUGGCGUGCUGGAGUGUGGCAGAGGGAGGUGGAAUUCCACGUGUAGCAGUGAAAUGCGUAGAGAUGUGGAGGAACACCGAUGGCGAAGGCAGCCUCCUGGGCAAGCACUGACGCUCAUGCACGAAAGCGUGGGGAGCAAACAGG